rnacentral:rRNA from 1 species
AUGUUAGCGGCGGACGGGUGAGUAACACGUGGAUAACCUACCUAUAAGACUGGGAUAACUUCGGGAAACCGGAGCUAAUACCGGAUAAUAUUUUGAACCGCAUGGUUCAAAAGUGAAAGACGGUCUUGCUGUCACUUAUAGAUGGAUCCGCGCUGCAUUAGCUAGUUGGUAAGGUAACGGCUUACCAAGGCAACGAUGCAUAGCCGACCUGAGAGGGUGAUCGGCCACACUGGAACUGAGACACGGUCCAGACUCCUACGGGAGGCAGCAGUAGGGAAUCUUCCGCAAUGGGCGAAAGCCUGACGGAGCAACGCCGCGUGAGUGAUGAAGGUCUUCGGAUCGUAAAACUCUGUUAUUAGGGA